rnacentral:rRNA from 1 species
UACGUAGGGACCGAGCGUUGUCCGGAAUCAUUGGGCGUAAAGAGCGUGUAGGCGGCUAUUUAAGUCCUGCGUGAAAUCCUGCGGCUCAACCGCAGACGGUCGUGGGAAACUGGAUGGCUAGAGUGCGGGAGAGGAGAGUGGAAUUCCCGGUGUAGCGGUGAAAUGCGUAGAUAUGCGGAGGAACACCGAUGGCGAAGGCAAUCCCCUGGGCCUGCACUGACGCUCAUGCACGAAAGCGUGGGGAGCAAACAGG